rnacentral:rRNA from 1 species
CCUACGGGCGGCAGCAGUGGGGAAUUUUGCGCAAUGCUCGUAAGAGUGACGCAGCGACGCCGCGUGAAUUACGAAGGCCUUCGGGUCGUAAAGUUCUUUCGACAGGGAAGAAAAUGCCUAUAAGUAACUGUGUAUGUAUUGACGGUACCUGUAUAAGCAGCCCCGGCUAACUCCGUGCCAGCAGCCGCGGUAAUCCGGAGGGGGCGAGCGUUGUUCGGAGUGACUGGGCGUAAAGAGUACGUAGGCGGUGUUGUAAGUCAUUAGUCAAAGACUAGAGCUCAACUUUAGUAAGGCUAGUGAUACUAUAAUACGAGAGGAUCAGAGAGGAUUGCAGAAUGCCUGGUGUAGCGGUGAAAUGCGUAGAUAUCAGGAGGAAUACCGUUAGCGAAGGCGGCAAUCUGGCUGGAAACUGACGCUGAGGUGCGAAAGCGUGGGUAGCAAACAGGAUUAGAUACCCUGGUAGUC